rnacentral:rRNA from 1 species
AUUACCGCGGCUGCUGGCACGUAGUUAGCCGGUGCUUAUUCCUCGAGUACCGUCGGGUGUCUUCCUCGAGAAAAGCGGUUUACGACCCGAAGGCCUUCAUCCCGCACGCGGCGUGGCUGUGUCAGGGUUUCCCCCAUUGCACAAAAUUCCUAACUGCUGCCUCCCGUAGG